rnacentral:tRNA from 1 species
GGCCCGGUGGUUCAGUUGGUUAGAAUGCCGCCCUGUCACGGCGGAGGUCACGAGUUCGAGUCUCGUCCGGGUCG